UACGUAGGGGGCAAGCGUUGUCCGGAUUUAUUGGGCGUAAAGAGCGUGUAGGCGGUUUGGUAGGUCCGUUGUGAAAACUCGAGGCUCAACCUCGAGACGCCGAUGGAAACCAUCAGACUAGAGUCCGGAAGAGGAGAGUGGAAUUCCUGGUGUAGCGGUGGAAUGCGCAGAUAUCAGGAGGAACACCAAUGGCGAAGGCAGAUCUCUGGGCCGUAACUGACGCUGAGGAGCGAAAGCAUGGGGAGCGAACAGG
rnacentral:rRNA from 1 species